GAUGAACGCUGGCGGCGUGCCUAAUACAUGCAAGUCGAGCGAACAGACGAGGAGCUUGCUCCUCUGACGUUAGCGGCGGACGGGUGAGUAACACGUGGAUAACCUACCUAUAAGACUGGGAUAACUUCGGGAAACCGGAGCUAAUACCGGAUAACAUCUUGAACCGCAUGGUUCAAUAGUGAAAGCCGGCCUUGCUGUCACUUCUAGAUGGUUCCGCGCCGCAUUAGCUAGUUGGUAAGGUAACGGCUUACCAAGGCAACGAUGCGUAGCCGACCUGAGAGGGUGAUCGGCCACACUGGAACUGAGACACGGUCCAGACUCCUACGGGAGGCAGCAGUAGGGAAUCUUCCGCAAAGGGCGAAAGCCUGACGGAGCAACGCCGCGUGAGUGAAGAAGGUCUUCGGAUCGUAAAACUCUGUUAUUAGGGAAGAACAAAUGUGUAAGUAACUAUGCACGUCUUGACGGUACCUAAUCAGAAAGCCACGGCUAACUACGUG
rnacentral:rRNA from 1 species